GAAGAAGAGAGGUUGUUAGAUCAUUUGCCAAAAACUUACACAAAGGGUGGUCUCAAAACCAUGCCAUUCAUCAUAGUGAAUGAAACAUUGGAGAAAGUGGCAAGUUAUGGGUUGCAGCCAAAUAUGGUGAUAUAUUUGAUGAAAGUUUAUAAUUUAGAAAUCGCAACAGCUACAAGUUUACUGAGUUUAUGGUCUGCUCUUUCCCAUGGAUUGGCCCUUUUGGGUGCCUUUGUUUCUGAUUCAUUCUUGGGUCGCUUCACUGUUGUUGCUAUUGGAUCUAUCUCAAGCCUUUUUGGAAUGACUAUUCUUUGGUUAACCACUAUGGUUCCACAGCUGAGGCCUUCAAGUUGUGAUCAUUUUGAUAUCAAUGAAUGUGAUAGACCAACACCAGCACAACUCCUUGUAUUAUUGUUUUCUUUUGGGAUAAUUGCUCUAGGAGCUGGUUUCGUUAGACCUUGUUCUAUAGCGUUUGGUGCUGAUCAAU
rnacentral:misc_RNA from 1 species